rnacentral:rRNA from 1 species
GUAGGUGAACCUGCGGAAGGAUCACUAUCGAGCGAAUCCAAAACGAACGAAAAAGUCUCCCAACGUGCAUACCUUCCAUUUGCAUGUUGUUGUGAGCCACAUGGAAACUCGUACACACGUGGUGGCAGCCGUCUGCUGUGCUUUUUUUAGGCAGACAAUGGCUUACGAGUGGCCGUGUGCUUGUUGAACAACGGUGACCAAUUUGGCGUCUACGCCGUAUCUAGCCUCUGCCUGGACCGUCAGUUGCGAUGAAAGAUGCGGAGAAAGUUCCUUUGUUUUGGCUGCUAAUCAUCAUUGAUGAGCAGCAGCUUAAGGCAGAGUCGAGCAGACUUAAUGAGCCACGCUAGGUGGCCGCCAAAACCCAAAACACAACCGGUCUAUUUGACAUUGUUAUUUCAUUGUAUGUGUUGAAAAUGUACAAAUCUUGGCGGUGGAUCACUCGGUUCGUGGAUCGAUGAAGAACGCAGCCAGCUGCGAUAAAUAGUGCGAAUUGCAGACACAUUGAGCACUAAGAAUUCGAACGCACAUUGCGCUAUCGGGUUCAUUCCCGAUGGCACGUCUGGCUGAGGGUCGAAUUACGGUGAACUGUCUUCACGGUUUUUCUGGACUGUGAAGCAUUCGGCAAGCAAUUGCUGUUGUGUUGUUGGUGAUUCUAUCAUGGACAAUAUGACGAGCGGUUCCUUGCUUAGUGAUGACAAAAGAAGACGUCAACACCGAAUCUACUAUACUACUAAUACUAGUAUAUAGGUGAGGUGCUUUUGGUGGUCACAAAAGUGACAAGUAUGCCAUUUCAUAGGGGCAACAACCAGCAUACGUGAUAAGUUGGCUGGUUGAUGAAACGGCAACGGAAUGACGGACGUCUAUGUGAUCAAAAAUGAUACUAUUUGACCUCAGCUCAGUCGUGAUUACCCGCUGAAUUUAAGCAUAUAAUUAAGCGGAGGAAAAGAAACUAAC